CCUACGGGUUGCAGCAGUCGAGAAUCAUUCACAAUGGGGGAAACCCUGAUGGUGCGACGCCGCGUGGGGGAAUGAAGGUCUUCGGAUUGUAAACUUCUGUUCUUAGUGAAGAAUAAUGACGGUAGCUAAGGAGCAAGCCACGGCUAACUACGUGCCAGCAGCCGCGGUAAUACGUAGGUGGCAAGCGUUGUCCGGAAUUACUGGGUGUAAAGGGAGCGCAGGCGGGAAGCCAAGUCAGCUGUGAAAACUACGGGCUUAACUUGUAGACUGCAGUUGAAACUGGUUUUCUUGAGUGAAGUAGAGGUUGGCGGAAUUCCGAGUGUAGCGGUGAAAUGCGUAGAUAUUCGGAGGAACACCGGUGGCGAAGGCGGCCAACUGGGCUUUAACUGACGCUGAGGCUCGAAAGUGUGGGGAGCAAACAGGAUUAGAUACCCUUGUAGUC
rnacentral:rRNA from 1 species